rnacentral:lncRNA from 10 species
CCCAUCUUGCUCUCAGGAGUGCAACGAGAGAUGGGAUCUCCCUACGUUGCCCAGACUGGUCUCAAACUCUUGGCCUCAAGUGAUCCUCCAACCUCAGCCUCCCAAACUGCUGGGAUUACAGGCUCAACCCACCAUGCCUCGCCUAAAUUUAUUUUUUAAUGACAAAAAAUAUAUAUAUUUAUGGUACAUAACAUGAUGUUUUGAAAUAUGUUUACAUGUGGAGUGGCCAAAUCAAGCUUGCUACCAUAUACAUUAUCUCACAAAAAAAGUCUGCUUUUAAAAAAAUGCAACCCUCAAGUGGAACCAGAAAAGACAUUUUAUUUCUUUAGAUAUGUGGUCUUGGUAGGUUGCCCAUGCCAAGCUCAAGUGAUCCUCCUGCCUCAGCCUCCCAAGUAGUUGAUACCACAGGCACACGCCACCAUGCCCAGCUUCUUACCAUUUUUUUUUUUGCGAUGAAUUGUUGCGGGAACUCAGGGACCCUGAACGGAGGGACCAGCUGAAGCCACGGCAGAAGAACAUAAAUUGUGAGGAUUUCAUGGACAUUUAUUAGUUCCCCAAAUUAAUACUUUUAUAAUUUCUUACGCCUGUCUUUACUGCAGUCUCUGAACAUAAAUUGUGAAGAUUUCAUGGACAUGUAUCACUUCCCCAGUCAAGACUCAUAAUUUCCUGUGCCUGUUUGUACUUUAAUCUCUUAAUCCCGUCAUCUUCGUAAACUGAGGAUGUAUGUCACCUCAGGACCCUGUGAUGAUUGCGUUAACUGCACAAAUUGUUUGUAAAACGUGUGUUUGAACAAUAUGAAAUCUGGGCACCCUGAAAAAGAACAGGAUAACAGCGAUGUUCAGGGAACAAGGGAGAUAACCAUAAGGUCUGACUGCCUGCGGGGCCGGGCAGAACAGCGUCAUAUCUUUCUUAUUGCAGAAAACGAGUAGGAGAAAUAUGGCUGCAUUCUUUUCCCAGCAAGGAAUCACCCUGGGAAGGGAACGCAUUCCCGGUGGGGGGCAUGGACGGCCGCUCUGGGGCUGUCUGCCUCAUGCGGUUGAAGAUAAGGGAUGAAAUAACGCCCUGCUCUCCUGCGGCGCCCCCAGGCUUGCUAGGAUUAGGAAAUUCCAGCCUGGCGAAUUGUAGUCAGACCAGUUCUCUGCUCUUGAACCCUGUUUCCUGUUAAGAUAUUUAUCAAUGACAACGCGUGCACAGUGGGACGUGAAACCUCAUCAGUAAUUCUAAUUUCGCCCUGGCCUUGUGAGCUUGCUCUGCCCUUAUGCCCUUGUGAUCUUUUAUUGCCAUUUGAAUGAAGCGUGUGAUCUCUGUGACCCACUCCCUAUUCAUACCCCCUCCCCUUUUGAAAUUCCUAAUAAAAACCUGCUGGUUUUGCGGCUCAGGUGGGUAUCACAGAACCUGCCGACACGUGAUGUCACCCCCGGAGGCCCAG